GAUGAACGCUGGCGGCGUGCCUAAUACAUGCAAGUCGAGCGAACAGACGAGGAACUUGCUCCUCUGACGUUAGCGGCGGACGGGUGAGUAACACGUGGAUAACCUACCUAUAAGACUGGGAUAACUUCGGGAAACCGGAGCUAAUACCGGAUAAUAUAUUGAACCGCAUGGUUCAAUAGUGAAAGACGGUUUUGCUGUCACUUAUAGAUGGAUCCGCGCCUCAUUAGCUAGUUGGUAAGGUAACAGCUUACCAAGGCAACGAUGCUUAGCCGACCUGAGAGGGUGAUCGGCCACACUGGAACGGAGACACGGUCCAGACUCCUACGGGAGGCAGCAGUAGGGAAUCUUCCGCAAUGGGCGAAAGCCUGACGGAGCAACGCCGCGUGAGUGAUGAAGGUCUUCGGAUCGUAAAACUCUGUUAUUAGGGAAGAACAAAUGUGUAAGUAACUAUGCACGUCUUGACGGUACCUAAGCAGAAAGCCACGGCUAACUACGCG
rnacentral:rRNA from 1 species